UACAGAGGUCCCAAGCGUUGUUCGGAUUCACUGGGCGUAAAGGGUGCGUAGGCGGUCGGGUAAGUCUGGUGUGAAAUCUCACAGCUUAACUGUGAAACUGCAUUGGAUACUAGCCGGCUCGAGGAAUGGAGGGGAGACUGGAAUACUUGGUGUAGCAGUGAAAUGCGUAGAUAUCAAGUGGAACACCAGUGGCGAAGGCGAGUCUCUGGACAUUUCCUGACGCUGAGGCACGAAAGCCAGGGGAGCAAACGGG
rnacentral:rRNA from 1 species